GUGAGGAAUUUUCCGCAAUGGGCGAAAGCCUGACGGAGCAAUGCCGCGUGAAGGAUGAAGGCCUAUGGGUUGUAAACUUCUUUUCUUAGAGAAGAAUAUUGACGGUAUCUGAGGAAUAAGCAUCGGCUAACUCUGUGCCAGCAGCCGCGGUAAGACAGAGGAUGCAAGCGUUAUCCGGAAUGAUUGGGCGUAAAGCGUCUGUAGGUGGCUUCAAAAGUCUCCUGUCAAAGAUCAGGGCUUAACCCUGGGCCGGCAGGAGAAACUCUGAGGCUAGAGUUUGGUAGGGGCAGAGGGAAUUCCCGGUGGAGCGGUGAAAAGCGUAGAGAUCGGGAGGAACACCAAAGGCGAAAGCACUCUGCUGGGCCACAACUGACACUGAGAGACGAAAGCGAGGGGAGCAAAAGGGAUUAGAUACCCCUGUAGUCC
rnacentral:rRNA from 1 species